rnacentral:rRNA from 1 species
AUCCUGGCUAGGAUGAACGCUAGCUACAGGCUUAACACAUGCAAGUCGAGGGGCAGCAUGUUGGUUGCUUGCAACCAAUGAUGGCGACCGGCGCACGGGUGAGUAACGCGUAUCCAACCUUCCCCUUAGUAGAGGAUAGCCCGGCGAAAGUCGGAUUAAUACUCUAUGUUGUAUUUUGAUGACAUCUGACGAAUACCAAAGAUUUAUCGCUAAGGGAUGGGGAUGCGUCUGAUUAGGUUACAGGCGGGGUAACGGCCCACCUGGCCUACGAUCAGUAGGGGUUCUGAGAGGAAGGUCCCCCACACUGGUACUGAGACACGGACCAGACUCCUACGGGAGGCAGCAGUGAGGAAUAUUGGUCAAUGGGCGCGAGCCUGAACCAGCCAAGUAGCGUGCAGGGAACCGACUGCCCUAUGGGUUGUAAACUGCUUUUAUCAGGGAAUAAAGUGAGGCACGCGUGCCUUUUUGUAUGUACCUGAUGAAUAAGGACCGGCUAAUUCCGUGCCAGCCGCUGC